rnacentral:rRNA from 1 species
GUAGGGGGCAAGCGUUAUCCGGAAUUAUUGGGCGUAAAGGGUGCGUAGGCGGGUUAUCAAGUCUUUGGUCAAAAUGCGGUGCUCAACGCCGUAGUGCCAAAGAAACUGAUAGUCUAGAGUAUGGUAGAAGUGAGUGGAACUCCAUGUGUAGCGGUAAAAUGCGUAAAUAUAUGGAAGAACACCAGUGGCGAAGGCGGCUCACUAGGCCAAUACUGACGCUGAGACACGAAAGCGUGGGGAGCAAACAGGAUUAGAUACCCUGGUAGUCCACGCCGUAAACGAUGAUUACUAGGUGUUGGUGGGUAUGACCCAUCGGUGCCGCAGCAAACGCAAUAAGUAAUCCACCUGGGGAGU